rnacentral:rRNA from 1 species
GACGAACGCUGGCGGCACGCUUAACACAUGCAAGUCGAACGAGCGAAAGAGUGCUUGCACUCUCUAACUAGUGGCGGACGGGUGAGUAACACGUGAGCAAUCUGCCUUUCGGAGAGGGAUACCAAUUGGAAACGAUUGUUAAUACCUCAUAACAUAACGAAGCCGCAUGACUUUGUUAUCAAAUGAAUUUCGCCGAAAGAUGAGCUCGCGUCUGAUUAGGUAGUUGGUGAGGUAACGGCCCACCAAGCCGACGAUCAGUAGCCGGACUGAGAGGUUGAACGGCCACAUUGGGACUGAGACACGGCCCAGACUCCUACGGGAGGCAGCAGUGGGGAAUAUUGCACAAUGGGCGAAAGCCUGAUGCAGCGAUGCCGCGUGAGGGAAGAAGGUUUUAGGAUUGUAAACCUCUGUCUUUGGGGACGAUAAUGACGUAC